GCCAGGCAUGGUGGCGUGUGCCUGUAAUCCCAGCUACUCAGGAGGCUGAGGCAUGAGAAUUGCUUGAACUCAGGAGGUGGAGGCUGCAGUGAGCCAAGAUUACACCACUGCACUCCAGCCUGGGUGACAGAGCAAGACUCAGCCUCAA
rnacentral:SRP_RNA from 1 species